GAGAGAGAGAGAGAGAGAGGCCCAGAAGAGGAGCAAGGGCAGAGGGCCGAGGGGAAGGAGUGGUGGCCCUGGAGGCCAUGACCUUCUCAGGCCCCGCUGGGCGGCCUGGCUUGCUGUUUGGGGCUGGCUAAUGAUUAGCAGGGAAAAUGUCACUCUGGGGCAUGCACACCUUCCGGGAGCGAGGGGCCAGUGGCAGGCAGGGGCCACCUCUGUGUUUACAGCCCGGCCUGUGACGUGACAGGGCCAUUUCAAGAGGAACUUCCUGCUAACCGGCAACCCGGGUGGAGAUUCUCGGCGGCCACACAGGUUUGUUCCUGCGUUUGCGUGGAGGGAGGACGGAGGCCCAGAUGCCUCUGGGAUCAGAGAACCUUCUGUGACGCCGGAAGAGGAGAACUUCCUGCCCGAGGGUGAAGAAGACGCGUGGUGAUGGAGGGCAGGUGGAAAGGCAUCUCGACCGUGCUGGUCAUCCUGGCUGGGCUGGCAGCUUCUGGAUCCAGCUAUCAAAUCAUAGAAGGUCCCAAGAACGCAACGGUGCUGGAGGGCUCGGAGGCUCGCUUCAACUGCACGGUCUCACAGGGCUGGAAGCUCAUCAUGUGGGCUCUGAAUGGCACGGUGGUUCUGAGCAUCACGCCCUCAGAGCCCAUCAUCACCAACGACCGCUUUACCUCUGCGAGCUACCAAGAGGGCGGCAACUCCAUCUCUGAGAUGAUAAUCCAUGAUGUGCAGCUCCGUGACGCGGGGCACAUCAAGUGCAGCCUCCAGAACAGUGACCGCGAUGCAUCCGCUUUCCUUUCAGUGCAAGUUAUGGGGGCGUUGCUCAUUCCCGGAGGCAACCUUGUAGUCGCGGAGGAUGAACCUUGUAAUGUGACUUGCCACGCAUGGGGCUGGAUCCCGCCCCCAGGUAUUUCCUGGGAUAUCGGCCUUCCCGUGAGCCACUCGAGCUAUCAUUCUGUUCUGGAGCCCAACAAUCCCCAAAGUGCAGUGAGCGUCCUGACUCUCACACCACAGGGCAACGGGACUUUGACUUGUGUGGCUACCAUGAAAGGGCUGCAUGCCCACAAGUCUGUAACUGUGAAUCUUACUGUGGUUCAGCCUCCUUUGGGCAGUAUUGAUAAAGCAGGUACAUCAUUGCCUACCUGGGCCAUAAUUCUGCUUGCAGUAUCAUUUUCAUUGCUUUUGAUCCUGAUCAUUGUUCUGAUUAUAAUAAUCUGCUGCUGUUGUGUCUCCGGGAGAGAGAUAAAAGAAUCUAGUUAUCAAAGUGAAAUAAGGAAAUCUGCAAGUGUGAAGACAAACAAAGAAACUUUUGAGACAAACUUAGAAAGUGGCAGUGAAAACCUGGGCUACCAUUCAGAUGAGCCACGGACAGCAAAACUUGCUUCUUUUGCUCCAGUGUCCUCUGAAUCCAGUGUUCAGGAACAACACAGCAGUAGGCAACCUUAUCAGUGUGUUUCUGUCGUCCAUCAUCAUCCUUGAGUGGGUACAAGUCAAGGGGAAAGACAAGAGUUUCAGAAGACCUUUUGGACAGAGCUGUUCAAAUCUCUAGGCUGUCAAGGUCCGUGGACUCAUGCACCUUAGUGGCCAAUUUCCACUCAUUGGCUCACCUGGUGUCACAAAUCAAGGGGGCAUGGCACCCACCUGCUGCAGAAAGACCUACCAGUAAGGUACCGGGUUUUCCAUGAACGCAAUUGCCAUGGAAAUCGAGGGCAGAUGGCAGUGGGUUCUAUGGGAAGCUUCACGGAGGAUGAUUUGCCAUUUUGGAAAAUGGCGUCGGGAACAGCACCACCGUUUGGAGUAUCUGAGUUGCUGUCACGAGACACAUGAGUCGCUGGAGAGUUACAGCUGCUGCAUUCCUGAGAGGCCUUCCUUGCCUGAUUGGGAAACUGAGGCUCAGAGAGGUCCAGUAACUUGCGUGAGGCUGCUGUGCUGAAUUUAUCCUUUCCUUUCCAACUCAGCGAUGUCUUGCCCCCGUGACUUCACCGCUCCGCAGGACAGGAAAAACUGAGGUGUUGGCCAUGAUGCAAACUUCCAGACGUUGUCGUCGUCGAGCCAACACUUUCGACUUCUUGGCGUAAGGUUUUCAGUUCAUUUAUUUAAUGUUUAAUAUGAUCCUGCUAUAGUGGGCACUGUUCUUGCAGUUGACAAAAUGAAAGUGAACUAGAAAUUGUUACUGUCUUUGUAGAUCUUGCAGAGGAAUAGACAAAUAAUUAUAAGAGAAGGUGCAAGGGCUGUAGGUCAGUGCGAAUGCAGGGAAUGUUCUUGGGCGUUACUCUAAUUAGAAAUGUCUUGGGCUCUGUCACAUGAGUCCAAAGACAUAGGGGACUGUUACUCUAUCAAAUAAUCAUAAAUUAGAACCAGAACAAAGGCUAUUUGCAACGUCUCCACCCUAAACUCAUCGCUUUCCUAUGGGCUCUUCAGCUACAGACUGGUACAAAGGUGGGGUAUAAGUUCAUAAAGUCACGAGUAGCGAAUAGUGGAGAUGAGUCAUUCUAAUUAAAUUUUUCUUGAACACCUACUGGAUGACCAAUAUUGUGCUUAGGCAGGGUCAUAAAAAUACUGCUCUGAUCUUCUCCACCUCAGCCUUGUAGUAAAUCCACCUCCUGGGGCAAGACUGACAAAAAUGGCAUAUGGUGCUUAUGGCAGACAUCACCAGUUGAUGGUGGCUUUUACCCACUUAGUCCGUGGUGGCUUCCCAACCCAUGGCCAUCAGUCAGUAAGAGUUGGCAUUAUAGAUUAAGCCCAUUUGCUAUUUGGUUGCUGAGGUCUCUAUUUGGGUCUCCUCAAAUUUGGGGGUCUCUCUUAAUGUCUGUUGCUUGGAGGAGAGAAAACUUUAGUGAUUCAGGGAAUGAAGCCAGAGAGUCUGUCCCCUUCUGGGCCUGGAUUCUGGUGAGUUAAGGUUGCCACCUCUUUUUUUACUCCUAAGUUUAUAAUUUCUCUUUAAAAAAUAUUAUGUUUAAGAACAAAAGCUUCAAUGUGCUGGUCCUUGAAAAGAAACAGUCAUUGCAGGCUUUCAUUUGACUGAUGUGUUCACGCAUUUGUUUUCAUCCUGUUCGUCUCUGUAUCCCGAGCUCCUGCCGUAGUGCUUAGGACAUGAUAGGGCUCAGAGAACAUUAGCUGGAUGAAUGGCUGAAUUUACAGGAAGCCAGAGUGUUGAGACUACCCAUUUGGUUAAAUAAAAGUACACGUAGAUGGUAGUAUAAUUUCCAAGUCAUUGUUUCCCAGGCAAGGAGGAGUGUUCUCUGAUAAGAUUGCUACUUGAAAGCCAUGUAUUCAGGUAUUCAUUCAUUCAUUUAUUCAUUCAGAGGAUGUUUGUCUUGGGUACUUGAGGGCAGACCAGGAGCAUGAUCCCCCAACCCCAUGGAGCUUCCAGUCUAGUUGAGGUGACACACCUUGACACACCUUAGACAAUUAAAUACACAACUACAAACUGAUAAAUACUGGAAGAGAGAGUUCAAGAAAGAUGCAGUUUAGAUGGGGUGUAAAGUAAUCAAAACCACAAUGAGAUACCACCUCACACCUGUCAGAGUGGAUAACAUUAACAACUCAGGCAACAACAGAUGUUGGCGAGGAUGCGGAGAAAGAGUGUUUCUU